GAAUGACAAGGUUGGACUGAUUAUUGGUAAAGGCGGUGAGAACAUAAAAAAUAUGCAAGCUCAGUCUGGUGCUCGUAUUCAGCUUAUACCUUUGCAUCUUCCCCCCGGUGAUACAUCAACCGAACGAAUGGUACAAAUAGAUGGUACAACUGAACAAAUUGAAUCAGCAAAACAAUUGGUCAAUGAUGUGGUUAAUUCGAUUCGGGGCAGAACAUCGCAGAUGGGUGGCUACUCUCAGCAAGGGUACCGUCCACCGCGGCCUCCUACAAGUUGGGGUCCUCCUGGACAAACACCAGGGCAGCAGCCUGGUUACUACAUGCAACCUGGCACAUAUCCCGGGGCACCACCACAGUAUAACACAUCCCAGCCAGCUUAUGGAGGCUAUCCCCAACCCCCUGCAUCAGGUGGAUACCCAACCAGUUAUGAUCAAUCAACCAACCCUGCUCAACAAACCACGGCUGGAGCUGGAUAUGAUUACUAUAACCAGCAGCAGCCACAGCAGCAGUCGGAUAACUCUGGUUACAAUUACGGACAGCCACCAAGCUACAACUCUCAAGGAUCUUAUGCCGAUGCG
rnacentral:misc_RNA from 1 species